GACGAACGCUGGCGGCGUGCUUAACACAUGCCAGUCGAACGGAAAGGCCCUGCUUUUGUGGGGUUCUCGAGUGGCGAACGGGUGAGUAACACGUGAGUAACCUGCCCUUGACUUUGGGAUAACUUCAGGAAACUGGGGCUAAUACCGGAUAGGAGCUCCUGCUGCAUGGUGGGGGUUGGAAAGUUUCGGUGGUUGGGGAUGGACUCGCGGCUUAUCAGCUUGUUGGUGGGGUAGUGGCUUACCAAGGCUUUGACGGGUGGCCGGCCUGAGAGGGUGACGGGCCACAUUGGAGAUGGGUACGGGCCCAAGCUCUAACGGGAGGCAGCGGAGGGAAUAUUGCACAAUGGGCGGAAGCCUGAUGCAGCAACGCCGCGUGCGGGAUGACGGCCUUCGGGUUGUAAACCGCUUUCGCCUGUGACGAAGCGUGAGUGACGGUAAUGGGUAAAGAAGCACCGGCUAACUACGUG
rnacentral:rRNA from 1 species